GAUGAACGCUGGCGGCGUGCCUAACACAUGCAAGUCGAACGAUUAAGGCGCCUUCGGGCGCGAAUAGAGUGGCGAACGGGUGAGUAACACGUGACCAACCUGCCCCCCUCCCCGGGAUAACGCGAGGAAACCCGCGCUAAUACCGGAUACUCCGCCCCUCCCGCAUGGGAGGGGCGGGAAAGCCCCGACGGAGGGGGAUGGGGUCGCGGCCCAUUAGGUAGACGGCGGGGCAACGGCCCACCGUGCCUGCGAUGGGUAGCCGGGUUGAGAGACCGACCGGCCACAUUGGGACUGAGAUACGGCCCAGACUCCUACGGGAGGCAGCAGUGGGGAAUUUUGCGCAAUGGGGGGAACCCUGACGCAGCAACGCCGCGUGCGGGACGAAGGCCUUCGGGUUGUAAACCGCUUUCAGCAGGGAAGAAGUUGACGGUACCUGCAGAAGAAGCCCCGGCUAACUACGUGCCAGCAGCCGCGGUAAUACGUAGGGGGCGAGCGUUAUCCGGAUUCAUUGGGCGUAAAGCGCGCGUAGGCGGCCCGUCAAGCGGAACCUCUAACCCGAGGGCUCAACCCCCGGUCGGGUUCCGAACUGGCAGGCUCGAGUUUGGUAGAGGAAGAUGGAAUUCCCGGUGUAGCGGUGGAAUGCGCAGAUAUCGGGAAGAACACCGAUGGCGAAGGCAGUCUUCUGGGCCAUCAACUGACGCUGAGGCGCGAAAGCUGGGGGAGCGAACAGGAUUAGAUACCCUGGUAGUCCCAGCCGUAAACG
rnacentral:rRNA from 1 species